GUGUCAGCAGCCGCGGUAACACGUAGGGUGCGAGCGUUGUCCGGAAUUAUUGGGCGUAAAGAGCUCGUAGGCGGUGUGUCGCGUCGGCCGUGAAAACCUGCAGCUUAACUGUGGGCGUGCGGUCGAUACGGGCAUCACUGGAGUUCGGCAGGGGAGACUGGAAUUCCUGGUGUAGCGGUGAAAUGCGCAGAUAUCAGGAGGAACACCGGUGGCGAAGGCGGGUCUCUGGGCCGAUACUGACGCUGAGGAGCGAAAGCGUGGGGAGCGAACAGGAUUAGAUACCCUGGUAGUCCACGCCGUAAACGUUGGGCGCUAGGUGUGGGGACCAUUCCACGGUUUCUGUGCCGCAGCUAACGCAUUAAGCGCCCCGCCUGGGGAGUACGGCCGCAAGGCUAAA
rnacentral:rRNA from 1 species